rnacentral:lncRNA from 1 species
AUGCCUCUCGCUCUCGGGCUCCUAAUAGCAGCUCCUGAUAUUCUCGCUGCUUGCCAGGGACUGUGCCCUCCGCUAGAGAGCGCUAUUGGACCGUUUUCGCGCAUCCAACCCUCUCACUGCAGUCCCCACGCUCUAACAUUGACUGUCUCGCCGCAAAAGGCGCUUCGAGCAGCAUUGGAUCGAGUAACCAUGUCAGGCGUUUCCUCAGACACUCUGCGCGAUUCAGCCUUCAGAAUCCGAGGAACGCUACAAGGGUCUGGCAAAGACGGCCCGUUUAUGACGGCUCAUACAGCCGCCGCUUUUUCGCUAGCGGCAGAGCCCGAUGUUCAUCUUGUUGGAUUAAUUCCUGCCGUGGACACGCUUCAGGAUUAUACACAACGAGAUGCAGCGGAUUUGACGCACGCGCUUCCCCGGCUUACGGACGCCGCGAGCUUUCCGUAUUCGGGCAUGUUAACGCGUAUGAAAACGCUGAAAAAGGCGGAAACCUUGAAACCACUGACGCUAUUUCGGGCCGCGUGGGAACGCUUGCCCGGCAUUUCGCAAUGGGUGUUACGCACGAUUCGUCUCGGAUACACCAUUCAGUUUCGAAAAGGCCCGCCUCCUUUCCGCGGAAUUCUUCCCACGGUUGUGAAACCAGAGGAAGUCGCGGUGCUGCGGCAAGAAAUGACAGCUCUGCUGAAGAAAGGGGCUAUAGAAGAAGUACACCCCUCUCAGAUGGAGUCAGGUUUUUACAGCCGCUAUUUUGUUGUACCAAAAAAAGGGGGCGGUUUGCGACCCAUAUUGGAUCUACGCCGUUUGAAUCUUGCACUCAGGACGAGCAAAUUCAGGAUGUUAACGGUAAAGUCCAUUUUGUCUCAGAUUCAACCAAACACUUGGUUUGUCACGAUCGAUCUGAAGGAUGCAUAUUUUCAUAUUCAGAUCAUCAAGAGACACAGGAAGUUCCUCAGAUUCGCUUUAGAGGGCAAAGCGUAUCAAUACCGUGUUCUUCCUUACUGCCCAGUGGCUUCAGUACUGGAGUUCCUUCAAGACCGUUUCUCUGAUGGAGUAACGCCAGCAACUUUGAAAGUUUAUGUGGCAGCCAUUUCAGCUAACCACGUAUAUAUGGAUGGUGCUUCAGUGGGCCGUCAUCCGCUGGUCUCUCGCUUUUUACAAGGUGCGCGACGGCUGAGGCCUUUCCGCCCUGUGCGAGUUCCCUCAUGGGAUUUAUCUAUUGUACUGCAAGGUCUAUCAGGACAUCCGUUUGAGCCCUUGGAAACCGUACCGGAUAAAAUCCUGACCUUGAAGACAGUUCUUCUUAUGGCUUUAUCCUCCCUCAAGAGAGUUGGGGAUUUACAGGCUCUUUCUGUUUCGCCGUCGUGCAUGGAUUUUGCACCAGGCUUUGUGAAGGUAUUGCUGCGACCGAGGCCUAAUUAUGUCCCUAAAGUCGCUUCGAACCCCUUUCAUUUUCAGCAGACGGUCCUGGAGGCUUUACCCCCUGCUGGGACAGGAUCAGAAGAUCUAAGUCUUUGCCCUGUCAGAGCGCUUAAGACUUAUGUCGAUCGAUCAGCCUCAUGGCGUGAGUCCGACCAGCUGUUUGUCUGUUUUGGACACAAGAAUAGAGGCCAUGCUGUCACAAAGCAACGCAUGUCCCAUUGGUUGGUGGAGGCAAUAUCUUUAGCCUAUGAGGCGCGCGGUCUCGCCUCGCCUCUAGGAGUCAAAGCUCAUUCCACUAGAGCAGUCGCUUCCUCUCAGGCGGCCCUCAGUGGAUCUUCUAUGGCUAAUAUCUGUGCUGCGGCAGGAUGGUCCUCACCGAGCACUUUUAUCAAGUUUUACAGUCUGGAUGUAAGGACGGCUCCUGGCUCCCGGGUUCUCUCCGCUUGA